GUUUAAAUUUUUUAAUUUUCUUGUGUUCACUAAAUCUAAAAAUAACAAGAUAUUAACAUUCACUAUACUCAGAAAAUCAGUGUCAAACUAGUGUUAUUUGUUCCAACAUGUUAUUGGAUUUGACAAAACACACAAUAAAUGGGCCUUUUGGCCUAACAGAGAGAAGAACAAAAUGGCCCAUUCCAUCACUUUAUAUAUCUCUACGUGAGAUUAGAGAAAGUGGUGGUAGGUGUGUUAGACAAGACACAGAGAGUUCUAGAGAGAAAGAGAAGAAACGAGAGUUUAUUUUUCAAGAAGCUUUCUCCUUCUUUGUUCUUUAUCUUUGAUCUUUGUUCUUCUUGAGAUUGUACCUGAAACCAAAACAACAUCACAAGUCAAGUGGUGUUUGUAAUCCCUUUGAUAUAGUGAAGCUAGAUCUCCCCCGAGACGUAGCGUUUGAGGCCGUGAACUCGGUUACCAAUUUCUGUGUCUAUUUAUUUCUUUAACAAGCAAUCUCUAUCACUAUUUUCUUCACACAACAUAUAUACAUGGGUAGCUAGCUACUCUUUUACAAAAGGAAAACUAGAUUAUAAACAAGACUGAAGUUUAUUAAAACCAAACAUAAUUGACUGAAGUUUGUUAUAUCCUUCGAAAACAAGAAACGACGAGUGCACAUUAGGUCUCAAAACCGAUAAUUUAUAUUUUAAGAUUUAAUUUAUCCCACUCUAUGAUCUGUAAUGUCCUUAACUUUUACAUAUUUCGUAAUGGUUGAACUUGAAAUGGAGAUCUAGGUCCAAUCAUAUCGUUGUUUUUUUGACAAUCUCACCACCAAACCAAAAAAGAAACUUGUUUGACAUUGUU
rnacentral:sRNA from 1 species